rnacentral:lncRNA from 10 species
CUGGAUUUUUGUUAACAGAUGACAGUUACAGAAUAAGAGUUUUUACUUAGUAUCUGAAGUUGAGGUUCAUUUCUGCAUACUGUCCCUUUUCCACUGACUACCAUGAAAUAAGUAGUUGCUUAAUUUUAUAAAAUUAAUUUCCCCUGCCCAAGCAACAGUAAAAGCCAAACAAAACACAAAGAAUCAUGUCAAGCAGAACUUAUGUAACAGUUCCCAAAGAAAACAAAGAAUACUUUUUUUGUUAAUCCACAUUUCAUUGAAGUUAUUUUGAGCUGCUUUUAGAGGAAACAGCCAGAAGUUUAAAUGAGCAUGUUCCUUAGAACACACAAUGGGAAGACAGUUUGGGAACAAAAAGCAUCAAGGUACAUAAAUUUUGGGGGUCUAAUUUAAAAUAUGAGCAUGAGUUUUAAAAGCUGGAAAACUUGACUAUGAAUUCCAGCUCUACCACAAACUGGUCACUUGUCUUCUCACCUCUUUGCAACUCACGUUCCCAUCUGUAAGGUGAAGAUACUCACAUCUGCUCUAGCAGUUUCACAGGUUGCUAUGAGGUGCUAAUGAGAUCAUUUAAAAAUCCAACUAUCAUUGGUAUCUCAGUAAGAAUCUGGCAUUGGGAGCUCAAAACACUGCAAGAUUCAUGCGGGGAUCAUAAUUCUUGGCUAAAAAUUAAAAAAAAAAAAUCUAAACACCCCUCAAAAGACACUGAGCAUGAAAGUGGUCAGAUCUAGGUUUUAGAUACCAGGUUAUAACAUUUCUUCUAAGGAUGUAGUAUUCUCAUUUUAAUGAAACAUUCUCAGUAGUGGUGGUAUCCUGUCAUUUGUAAAAGACACACAGUGUAAAUGUUAAAACCCAGCCUAAAUGUUUAUAUGUUGAAAAUGUAUAAGUUAAACUGUUGACUUAGAAAAGCUAUACUUCACAGUGAGAGAAAAAAAAGUUGACUAGCUUAGGCAGCAGUAUAUACAACACUGAUCAUUUUUUUAAAAUCCUGGCAAUAUCCCAAGCUCUGGUACCUCUAGAUUG